AUGGUAGCUCAGUUGGUAGAGCGUGAGACUUGGAAUCUGGACCGCAAGGUUCGAAUCCCACUCUCG
rnacentral:tRNA from 1 species